AAAAAAUUAGUUAAAAUAAAUAACAUUAAUUUGUCAAAUUAAAAUUAUAAUUCAAAUAUUUUUUA
rnacentral:tRNA from 1 species